GCCGGGCAUGGUGGUGCACACCUGGAAUCCCAAUGGCUUGGGAGGCUGAGGCAGGAGGAUCACGGGUUCAAAGCCAGCCUCAGCAAAAGCAAGCCACUAAGCAACUCAGUGAGAUCCUGUCUCUA
rnacentral:sRNA from 1 species